UUCAGCUGGAACUCUCAGAGUCACCCACUGCACACACAGCCCAAGCGCUGCAACAGCAGGAUCCCGAGCGCCCAGCUGCCUUGUCAUUGCAGGAGCCGAGAGCAGCAAACAGCAAAUGGCAUUCCAGAAAUGACAAGCAAAUCAGCAUUAUUCUUUCAGCCUUAAUUCUUAUUUCUGGAGGUAAAUGCUUCCCCUUCCCUCACUACCAGCAGCCAGGAAGACUCUGAACUCGGGGACAUCUCAAAGACACUCUGCAUACUGUGGACAGGGAGAGGAGGCAGGCAGAGAUGUUUAUUACCUUCUUAGGGGGGUUAAGAUGUUUGGAAUGGAUGGUCUGGUUCCAACUCUGCCUUGGCAACUGCUCAUAAUACUCUAUAGUGAUUAAAUGAUGGAUUUCCAGAA